CCUGGCUCAGGAUGAACGCUAGCUACAGGCUUAACACAUGCAAGUCGAGGGGCAGCAUUUCAGUUUGCUUGCAAACUGGAGAUGGCGACCGGCGCACGGGUGAGUAACACGUAUCCAACCUGCCGAUAACUCGGGGAUAGCCUUUCGAAAGAAAGAUUAAUACCCGAUGGUAUAAUCAGACCGCAUGGUCUUGUUAUUAAAGAAUUUCGGUUAUCGAUGGGGAUGCGUUCCAUUAGGCAGUUGGUGAGGUAACGGCUCACCAAACCUUCGAUGGAUAGGGGUUCUGAGAGGAAGGUCCCCCACAUUGGAACUGAGACACGGUCCAAACUCCUACGGGAGGCAGCAGUGAGGAAUAUUGGUCAAUGGGCGCAGGCCUGAACCAGCCAAGUAGCGUGAAGGAUGACUGCCCUAUGGGUUGUAAACUUCUUUUAUAUGGGAAUAAAGUUUUCCACGUGUGGAAUUUUGUAUGUACCAUAUGAAUAAGGAUCGGCUAACUCCGUGCCAGCAGCCGCGGUAAUACGGAGGAUCCGAGCGUUAUCCGGAUUUAUUGGGUUUAAAGGGAGCGUAGGUGGACAGUUAAGUCAGUUGUGAAAGUUUGCGGCUCAACCGUAAAAUUGCAGUUGAUACUGGCUGUCUUGAGUACAGUAGAGGUGGGCGGAAUUCGUGGUGUAGCGGUGAAAUGCUUAGAUAUCACGAAGAACUCCGAUUGCGAAGGCAGCUCACUGGACUGCAACUGACACUGAUGCUCGAAAGUGUGGGUAUCAAACAGGAUUAGAUACCCUGGUAGUCCACACAGUAAACGAUGAAUACUCGCUGUUUGCGAUAUACAGUAAGCAGCCAAGCGAAAGCAUUAAGUAUUCCACCUGGGGAGUACGCCGGCAACGGUGAAACUCAAAGGAAUUGACGGGGGCCCGCACAAGCGGAGGAACAUGUGGUUUAAUUCGAUGAUACGCGAGGAACCUUACCCGGGCUUAAAUUGCAUUUGAAUAUAUUGGAAACAGUAUAGCCGUAAGGCAAAUGUGAAGGUGCUGCAUGGUUGUCGUCAGCUCGUGCCGUGAGGUGUCGGCUUAAGUGCCAUAACGAGCGCAACCCUUAUCUUUAGUUACUAACAGGUCAUGCUGAGGACUCUAGAGAGACUGCCGUCGUAAGAUGUGAGGAAGGUGGGGAUGACGUCAAAUCAGCACGGCCCUUACGUCCGGGGCUACACACGUGUUACAAUGGGGGGUACAGAAGGCAGCUACCUGGUGACAGGAUGCUAAUCCCAAAAGCCUCUCUCAGUUCGGAUCGAAGUCUGCAACCCGACUUCGUGAAGCUGGAUUCGCUAGUAAUCGCGCAUCAGCCAUGGCGCGGUGAAUACGUUCCCGGGCCUUGCACACACCGCCC
rnacentral:rRNA from 1 species